CACGGUCAUGCCACUCUGAACAAGCCCAAUCCCAUCUGAUCUCGGAAGCUAAGCAAAUUUGUGCCUGCUUAGUACUUGGAUGGGAGACCACCUACGAAGACCAGGUGAUACAAGUGU
rnacentral:rRNA from 1 species